UACGUAGGGUGCGAGCGUUGUCCGGAAUUAUUGGGCGUAAAGAGCUCGUAGGCGGUUUGUCGCGUCUGCUGUGAAAACGCGAGGCUCAACCUCGCGCCUGCAGUGGGUACGGGCAGACUAGAGUGCGGUAGGGGAGAUUGGAAUUCCUGGUGUAGCGGUGGAAUGCGCAGAUAUCAGGAGGAACACCGAUGGCGAAGGCAGAUCUCUGGGCCGUAACUGACGCUGAGGUGCGAAAGCAUGGGGAGCGAACAGG
rnacentral:rRNA from 1 species